rnacentral:rRNA from 1 species
UGGGGAAUAUUGGACAAUGGGCGAAAGCCUGAUCCAGCCAUGCCGCGUGUGUGAAGAAGGUCUUCGGAUUGUAAAGCACUUUAAGUUGGGAGGAAGGGCAGUAAGCGAAUACCUUGCUGUUUUGACGUUACCGACAGAAUAAGCACCGGCUAACUCUGUGCCAGCAGCCGCGGUAAUACAGAGGGUGCAAGCGUUAAUCGGAAUUACUGGGCGUAAAGCGCGCGUAGGUGGUUCGUUGAGUUGAAUGUGAAAGCCCCGGGCUCAACCUGGGAACUGCAUCCAAAACUGGCGAGCUAGAGUAGGGCAGAGGGUGGUGGAAUUUCCUGUGUAGCGGUGAAAUGCGUAGAUAUAGGAAGGAACACCAGUGGCGAAGGCGACCACCUGGGCUCAUACUGACACUGAGGUGCGAAAGCGUGGGGAGCAAACAGG